UUAUUUUUUGGCUGUAAGUCGCUUUGGAUAAAAGCGUCUGCUCAAUGGCAUAUC
rfam:Salmo salar isolate Sally breed double haploid chromosome ssa14, whole genome shotgun sequence.